ACGGAAGGCAGCAGUGGGGGAUAUUGGUCAAUGGGGGAAACCCUGAACCAGCGACGCCGCGUGAGUGAAGAAGUAUUUCGGUAUGUAAAGCUCUAUCAGCAGGGAAGAAAAAAUCAAAAUUGACAGUACCUGACUAAGAAGCCCCGGCUAACUACGUGCCAGCAGCCGCGGUAAUACGUAGGGGGCAAGCGUUAUCCGGAUUUACUGGGUGUAAAGGGAGCGUAGACGGCAAAGCAAGUCUGAAGUGAAAUCCCGGGGCUCAACCCCGGAACUGCUUUGGAAACUGUUUAGCUAGAGUGCAGGAGAGGUAAGCGGAAUUCCUAGUGUAGCGGUGAAAUGCGUAGAUAUUAGGAGGAACACCAGUGGCGAAGGCGGCUUACUGGACUGUAACUGACGUUGAGGCUCGAAAGCGUGGGGAGCAAACAGGAUUAGAUACCCUGGUA
rnacentral:rRNA from 1 species